AUGUUCUUCACAUCUUUACUGCUGCUGCUCACUGUAACAUGUGUCCACUCUCAGGUUGUUCUCACACAGUCUGAGGGGUCAGUAACAGUGGCUCCAGGUGGAUCCCACAAACUGACCUGUGCCUGCAGUGGAUUCAGUUUGGGGGGCGCUUAUAUGCACUGGAUCCGACAGGCUCCUGGAAAAGGACUGGAAUGGAUUAUUUACUAUUAUUCUGAAAGUGCCAAAAGGUCAGCUCAGUCAGUUCAGGGCAGAUUCACAGCAUCCAAGGACAGCUCUAAUCUCUACCUGCACAUGAGUCAACUGAAGCCUGAAGACACUGCAGUGUAUUACUGUGCUAGAGAAGCUCACUGUGAUAGAACUCAUACAGACAGCUGUGUUCACUGUGAGGAACUGACUCAGCCUGGUUCCAUGGUGGUCCGUCCAGGCCAGAGUCUGACCAUCGACUGCAAGGUUUCAUAUUCAGUUACCAGUGAAUGGACAGGCUGGAUCCAGCAGCCUGCAGGAAAAGCUCUGGAGUGGAUUGGAGCUAUUGCUAGUGGUGGGGACGCAUAUUACAGUGAUAAACUGAAAAACAAGUGA